GAUGAGGUGGCCAAGUAGUUAAGGCGAUGGACUGCUAAUCCAUAGUGCAUUGCACACGUGGGUUCAAAUCCCAUCCUCGUCG
rfam:Loxodonta africana unplaced genomic scaffold scaffold_143, whole genome shotgun sequence.